UUGACCUCAAAUCAGGUAGGACUACCCGCUGAACUUAAGCAUAUCAAUAAGCGGAGGAAAAGAAACUAACAAGGAUUCCCUUAGUAACUGCGAGUGAAGAGGGAAAAGCUCAAAUUUAAAAUCUGGCAGUGUUUUGCUGUCCGAGUUGUAACCUAGAGAAGUGUAACCUGUGCUGGACCAUGUAUAAAUCUCCUGGAAUGGAGCAUCGCAGAGGGUGAGAAUCCCGUCUUUGA
rnacentral:rRNA from 1 species